AAAUUGAAGAGUUUGAUCAUGGCUCAGAUUGAACGCUGGCGGCAGGCCUAACACAUGCAAGUCGAACGGUAACAGGAAGCAGCUUGCUGUUUCGCUGACGAGUGGCGGACGGGUGAGUAAUGUCUGGGAAACUGCCUGAUGGAGGGGGAUAACUACUGGAAACGGUGGCUAAUACCGCAUAACGUCGCAAGACCAAAGAGGGGGACCUUCGGGCCUCUUGCCAUCAGAUGUGCCCAGAUGGGAUUAGCUUGUUGGUGAGGUAA
rnacentral:rRNA from 1 species